rnacentral:lncRNA from 1 species
ACUUUCUUCAGGGCUAUCAGAUGAAGGCAGCAACGAAAACACCACAAGACCAACUUCAGGCUGGAGCUGAUGAUGCCACACAGAAAAUAGACUCUACUUAGAAAUGAAACUCAACUAAAGGUAAAAGAUGUCAGGAACAUCUCCAAGAAAGCCAGAGUCAGCCUCUAAACUUUGCAUCAAGAACGCAAUGGCUUCCCUGAGGGCCCAGGGACGCUUGGCAGCUGUGAGGCAGCCCCUUCUCUGCUGUCGAGGAACUGGACACUUCUCCUAUCCCUUCCCACAAGGUAUAAUAUUAGGCAGAAACCCAAUAUAAAAAGAAAAGCAGAGUUGUUGUAGAUUCAUCGAGGGCUGGCGACCUGGUUCCAAUGAGCCAUCUCCCCGUUCCGACAGGGGCUUCCUGGAGCUCCUGCAACCCCAGGCAUUAGUUCCAGUGCAGUUCUAGGAUCAGAUCAAUUCACUCGACAACAAGAGAAACAAAUGGAGAUUCCUACACAAAGACUUUCAAGCACAAAGAAAUCCUGCUGCCUGUAAAGUGGAGCUGCCUCAGCUCUUGAUGAACGACAGAAAAUACCACCUACUGCCAGACCUCAACGCCUCACAAAACUCUCACCCACCUACUGCUUUUAGCUCACAUUCCAGGAAUUCAGAUGAAGUGAAGUGCUCUCAUGGGGACCAGGCAUGGUUAUUCCAGUCCACUGCCCUGCAAGCCUCAAGGGAAGCCAACUGCCCUUCAGCAAGUCACACCUGCCUUGGUGGAGGCCUUGAUUGGAAGUGCCACACGCUACAUGUCCAGUCCUGAGCGGGAGAAUCGGUGUAGGGACGUUGUGGGGAUGCCGGCUGUGGCCAGAUCAGGUCCA